UUACAGAAACCCGUAGAUCCGAACUUGUGCUGAAUCUUAAAGAUUUUUUAUUUUGAAUUUUCGACGACAUCUGAUUGAAGACACAAGCACGAAUUUACGGGAAUCUGUCGA
rnacentral:pre_miRNA from 1 species